AAAGGGAGUCUGGAAAAGGGAGCCACACUCAGAAAACUUGAAAGCAUGAAGGAGCUGGACAUGUUUACCGUGGAAUCUCGUACAGUUCAACAGGGGUCUUACAAGCCUGAAACCAAGAACUCGGCUGGCUGGCUCCUCAUCUGGAGGUUCAAUUAGGAAGAGAUCCACUUCCGCUCCCUCGGGUUGAAUAGAAUUCAUUUCCUGCGGUUGUGUGACUGAAGUUCCUGUAGCAGGUUUUUUUUUGUUUUUUUGUUUUGUUUUGUUUUGUUUUUUGUUUUGCCUUGUGAUCUUUUUGGAACCUUAGUUCCCUGACCAGGGGUUGAACCCAGGCAGGGGUGAUAAAAGUGCUGAGUCCUAACUGCUGGACUGCUAGGGAACUCCUUCAUGUUUUGAUUAUUGACUAUAGCUGUGCUAUGAACAUUGGAGUGCAUGUAUCUUUCUGACUUAGCAUUUUUGCUGGAUAUGUGCCCAGGAGUGGGAUUACUGGAUCAUAUGGCUGUGUUUACCUCUCAGCCUCAGUUUUCACGUCUUUAAAAUGGGAGCUAAGAAGAGAACCCAGAAGACCUAGUCCAUGCCUGCAAAUCAUUUAGAAUCUGUAACCUUCAGCAGUCAAUUCGUAUCUAUUACCAUUGCUGUCCACGUCUCUCUCCUCCUCCCUGACGAAAGAACCGAGGCUGAACAAAUGUUUCUCAGAUGGGGCCACCCCACCCCCCUCCACCUCCACCAGCAGGGAGGAGCUGACACAGGAAGAACACAGGAAUGGUUACACGGCUCUGAAGUUCAUCACCUUUUGCUGACCAGUCACAGCAACUCCCUGCAAAGAGGCUGCUUCAUCUCCAGACCUGACUUUGUAUUUCCCGGGUGAUCAUGGGAAAAUCACUGCACAUCUCUGAGCCUCAGUUUGUUCAUCUUCGAUAUGGGAACAUCAGCUCCCGCGCUGCAAGGACUCAGCAAGGAUUCCAUGAGACAGUAUGCAAACUCGCUAGCCCAAGUCUGUGGCUAGGGCUAGCUUUUAGUUUUUGAGUUGGUGUUUUGUUUUCUUAACUGGGGUAUUGUUGCUUUUCAGUGUUGUGUUAAUUUCUGCUGUACAAAGA
ensembl:lncRNA